rnacentral:rRNA from 1 species
UACAGAGUGGGCAAGCGUUGUUCGGAAUUACUGGGCGUAAAGGGCGCGUAGGCGGCCAACUAAGUCAGACGUGAAAUCCCCAGGCUCAACCUGGGAACUGCGUCUGAUACUGGAUGGCUCGAGUUCGGGAGAGGGAAGCGGAAUUCCAGGUGUAGCGGUGAAAUGCGUAGAUAUCCGGAAGAAGACCGGUGGCGAAGGCGGCCUGCUGGGCAGUUACUGACACUGAGGCGCGACAGCGUGGGGAGCAAACAGG